rnacentral:rRNA from 1 species
GCUCAGAUUGAACGCUGGCGGCAUGCUUUACACAUGCAAGUCGGACGGCAGCACAGAGAAGCUUGCUUCUUGGGUGGCGAGUGGCGAACGGGUGAGUAACGCAUCGGAACGUACCGAGUAGUGGGGGAUAACUGUCCGAAAGGAUGGCUAAUACCGCAUACGCUUUGAGAAGGAAAGCGGGGGAUCUUCGGACCUCGCGCUAUUCGAGCGGCCGAUGUCUGAUUAGCUAGUUGGUGGGGUAAAGGCCUACCAAGGCGACGAUCAGUAGCGGGUCUGAGAGGAUGAUCCGCCACACUGGGACUGAGACACGGCCCAGACUCCUACGGGAGGCAGCAGUGGGGAAUUUUGGACAAUGGGCGCAAGCCUGAUCCAGCCAUGCCGCGUGUCUGAAGAAGGCCUUCGGGUUGUAAAGGACUUUUGUCAGGGAAGAAAAGCUUUGGGUUAAUACCCUGGAGUGAUGACGGUACCUGAAGAAUAAGCACCGGCUAACUACGUGCCAGCAGCCGCGGUAAUACGUAGGGUGCGAGCGUUAAUCGGAAUUACUGGGCGUAAAGCGAGCGCAGACGGUUUGUUAAGCAGGAUGUGAAAUCCCCGGGCUCAACCUGGGAACUGCGUUCUGAACUGGCAGGCUAGAGUAUGUCAGAGGGGGGUAGAAUUCCACGUGUAGCAGUGAAAUGCGUAGAGAUGUGGAGGAAUACCGAUGGCGAAGGCAGCCCCCUGGGAUAAUACUGACGUUCAUGCUCGAAAGCGUGGGUAGCAAACAGGAUUAGAUACCCUGGUAGUCCACGCCCUAAACGAUGUCAAUGAGCUGUUGGGGCACUUGAUGCCUUAGUAGCGUAGCUAACGCGUGAAAUGACCG